rnacentral:rRNA from 1 species
ACAUUUAGUUGGGCACUCUAAUGAGACUGCCGGUGACAAGCCGGAGGAAGGUGGGGAUGACGUCAAGUCCUCAUGGCCCUUAUAGGUGGGGCUACACACGUCAUACAAUGGCUGGUACAGAGGGUUGCCAACCCGCGAGGGGGAGCUAAUCCCAUAAAACCAGUCGUAGUCCGGAUCGCAGUCUGCAACUCGACUGCGUGAAGUCGGAAUCGCUAGUAAUCGCGGAUCAGAAUGUCGCGGUGAAUACGUUCCCGGGUCUU